UAGGCUUUCUUCCCAGAUGGUGGUGCCGGGGUUGGCAAUUUGACUGCCAAGUCUUGGAAAUCCUCGGAGGACAAUCUUGACUGUUGUGCUGCCUGCCCCCUUUGGUCGGAAGUGGCGAGGGAUGAAGCCCAGAGGAGCACUGAGGCCAGUAGGAGCUGGGGUGCCCAGGACCCUCUUUCUUCCAUUGUCCCCUGAACACGGAUCCUGGGAAUGUCUCUGCAAAUGGCAGGAAGGAUGAAGAUCACUGAUGGGCCAUUGUCAGCAGAAGAGCAGCAAGACAGAGCUGCAGUGAGGCCUGCAGCCCCUUCCUGCCCCAUACAGUGUCUGAGUCAGCCUUUUGAUGGCCCGAUGGAGCCCACAGGAGCUCCCAGGAAACCGUCUCAGGCCCCAGCACAGGCCCAGGCACAUAGGAGGCUUCCAGGAAAUGCUUGUCAAGUGGAACAGUAGCAAGAAGGAAUUGAAAAGCCCAACCCUCUGAUGGGACUUGCUCAUGUCAUCCAGUAAGGAGCUGCUCAGGGCCUGGAACUAAGCCUGGGUGGGCUUUGCUUAGCACGCUGCCUCCUAGGGAGAGGGUGGGAUGGCAAGGAGAUGGCCUGGCUCAGGCUCUGCGGCACAGAGCCCCGCUCCACCUGAAAAGGCCCAGCCUGAGAAGGGAGGAUGAGCCAGCAGAGGAGAAGAGAGAGCUCAUAGGCCAGACCCCUGGAGAGUCCCUGAGCAGGGGAGGUCAGCCUCCCGUCCCCCGGGAUCCAGGUGACCCAGGCUAAAGGAGAAGGUGAAGUUGUUUACAUUGUAGACAUAGCACAGAGGGUGGAUGGUGACUUGAGUCGGUGCGUAAGCCCAUCCUCACACCUCUUUCCUCUCUGACCAGAGAAAGCUGGAAAGUUUAGCCCAUCCUAACUCUAGACUAAGACGGAGAGGGGCCAAGACAGAGGGGAGGACAGAGAGGUAACCCCCAGACAAAGCACCAGUACCACAGGAGCUGGGUGGGGAAGGCUGGGCCAGGACAGAGGCCACAUUCUCUGGGGAAUGUGCUGCCCACAGGCAGGCUGAACUAAGGACAGAUACAGGCUCCAGAUAGAACAGUGUCAGUGUCAGAAUGUUUCUCAGGAGGGAAGCUGGGAAGUUUAGAGCCUGCUCUUGCCCUGCAUGGCACUUGUUCCCAGCCCCUGCUGACCCACCAGCCAUGAUGGGAGGCUAGGGAGAGGGGCUGGGACGUGGUGGAGGGCGUGGAGCUGACCUAGGGGACAAAAACAGAAAUGAGGACAACGACUGGUGUUGUCUGCUCCAGAGUCAUGGCAUUUAGGCCCUGGAUACCAGUCCCCCUCACCACCUCUCUCUAGCCUGUCAGUAAAGCUGUGCACUCACCGCCCCACGGUGUGACUGUGUGGUGUCCUCUUCAGCUGAUUUCUUACUUGACUCAUCUGGAAACCCAAAGGGAAGUUGGGUCAACCUCCACCUGCUAAGCCUUGCUGAUAGAGGCCCUGCAGGCCUUCAACCUCCCAGGCCUAGUGACACUUCUGCAGUCCCUAUGCACUGGCAGGGCCCUCUGCCCCAGUGGGGACUUAUUCCCACUUCUAGUUACAGCUGCUUUUCACCGUUGGCUUGACAAAUUCCCUACACUGGGUUGUUGCCUCCAUUUCCCUACACUCCCUCUUGGCUGGGCCAGACAUUCUUGUUCAGUGCAUAUCAUGGGUGACCCAAGGGCCCGGGAUCCCAUCCCUACAGCCUGCUUAGCUGCAGUCCCCUGGGGAGCCACCGUAUCCAGCCACAUAUGAAGUCACCAGGCCUUGGUCUAUACUAUACCCUCCCAGGUACCCGCCUCCAGUCCCCUGUGUCCUAGUUGGAACACCCUAGAGCUCUGUCUCCCACUCACCCCGGGGUGCCAGCACACAAGGCCCCGAGUGGGAUUCUCUCUCUCUAGCCCCUGCCUCACACACGGUCCGGCUCCUUCCAAGCAUUCUUGGUUCAAAGACCAAGAACCCUGCCUGGAAUUAGACAGUCCCUUAGAAAUCACUGAGGCCAGGGGCACCUGGGUGGCUCAGUCGGUUAAGCGUCUGACUUCGACUCAGGUCAUGAUCUUGCAGU